GAUGAAGAACGUAGUGAAAUGCGAUAAGUAAUGUGAAUUGCAGAAUUCAGUGAAUCAUCGAAUCUUUGAACGCACCUUGCGCCCUUUGGCCAUUCCGAAGGGCAUGCCUGUUUGAGUAUCAUGAACACCUCAACUCUUCAUGGUUUUCCAUGAUGAGCUUGGACUUUGGGGGUCUUGCUGGCCUGUGGGUCGGCUCCUCUCAAAUGAAUCAGCUUGCCGGUUUUUGGUGGGCAUCACAGGUGUGAUAACUAUCUACGCUUGUGGUUUUCCACCAGGGUAACCUUCAGCAGUGGAGGUUCACUGGAGCUUACAAAUGUCUCUCCUCUGUGAGGACAGCCCUUUGAAUGUUUGAUCUCAAAUCAGGUAGGACUACCCGCUGAACUUAAGCAUAUCAAUAAGCGGAGGA
rnacentral:misc_RNA from 1 species